rnacentral:rRNA from 1 species
UACAGAGGUCUCAAGCGUUGUUCGGAUUCAUUGGGCGUAAAGGGUGCGUAGGCGGCGCGGUAAGUCGGGUGUGAAAUCUCGGAGCUUAACUCCGAAACUGCAUUCGAUACUGCCGUGCUUGAGGACUGGAGAGGAGACUGGAAUUUACGGUGUAGCGGUGAAAUGCGUAGAUAUCGUAAGGAAGACCAGUGGGGAAGGCGGGUCUCUGGACAGUUCCUGACGCUGAGGCACGAAGGCCAGGGGAGCAAACGGG